rnacentral:lncRNA from 1 species
UCCUUUGAGUCAGAACCUGUUUGGGGUCUGCAGAGAGUCGCACGUGGCGGGAGGGUGGCCCGCGUGUGGGUGAGGAGCAGGGAGGAAGGCUGCAGGGGCGAGGCCUUGGAGAUUCUGCUCCAGUUUGGCCUGCAGGCAGUGGAGAACCCUGGAUUCCUUUCAAGCAGGGAAGCGAUGGGACCACACACAAACUCAGGUCCGGGUACCCGAUUUCGCAGCCAAGCCAAUCAGUGAGAAGUCAGGGUUGCAGCAAGGAAAGAGGUUUAUGAUCAAGAGGCGGCCAGACAAGGAGAGGCCGCAGAGCACCCGAGGGCGGUUUCCCAGGCAGUGGAAAGAGGAGGAGGACCGAGCCGGGGGAAAGCAAGCUUUCCUCGUGAAGUUUGGAUGCCCGCUGCACGUUGGUGCCCUUCCCCUUUCUUCCUACUGUCCCGGGAGUGGGCGCCCUCGCGCGCUUUCUGAUGCUGCAGCACUAAGGCAAGUGAGGUUCCCGCUCCCCGAGGGAAAGCUCAAUAAACGCCCCCCCCCCCGCCCCCACCCUUCCCACCCCCCACUCUUCCCACACCCCCAGCCCCCACCCGCCCGCAACCCCCCACCUCCCAGACCCAACCCCACCCCCCCACCCCACGCCCCCCAGCUCCUCCCAGACGGUGACAGCGUGACAAACAGAAUCGGAAGCGUCCUUGGCCCACAGCCUGCGAUCCCACCCGUGCCGCGCCUGCUCUCCAGAGAAGUGACGUCCGUCCGCUUUAAGGUGGGUGGCUACCUGCAGCGACACCCUUUUGAAAGCGCGAACCAUAGCUAUUUCUUUGAAAGCUCCAGUGAAGCCGCAGAGAAACCUGUGAGCUUUAGCACAAGGCCACUUUGUGCUAAGGAACCCGCAGCGAGGGACCGGCUUUCCUGAAAGCGCCGUCGUCUCCUCUGCGGCUUGGGGAGCCUCUAGGGCUUGGACAGGCCUUGGAGCAGCCCGGCAGCACUCUUGGCGGGUGGCAGCAGCCAAGGUGUGCCGGUGGGCACGACGUCGGUCACGGCGUCUAAGAGAAGGUGCCCAGACCCUCCGGUUCCGGGGCCGGGUGGGUCGAUGAGAGACACGGCUGGGGAGCAGGGAUUCCCGUCCGAUCUUCUGGGGGUGGCUGCGAGGGCGGUUCUCAGAAGAGCUGGCACGUUCUUAGGCAGUGUCUUCCUGGCGGGUGCUCCGGGACGCUUCCUGGGCUGAGCGGGGAGCUGUCGUGGUGGAGAAGCUCCCUGAGACUCAGCUUCUAGAAAGUUCACGAAAAGCUCCGAGAAGGAACUCUUGAGCUCGGGUUGCUGGUUGGGUCUCCGAGGAGGAGGCGUGUCGGGGGCACUGCGGGAUCCGAGCCGCCCGGUCACCCAUCCGGUAAGGCCGCCCUGCUCUUCCUGCAGCAACUGCUCCAUGGCCUCCCUUUCCACACCCAGGGUGCUUCCCAUCCGUCGGAACGCUUCCCGGCGUUCGUGUCUGGCGCUUUGCAAGGCGUCCGUGAAGAGCUUUCUCAGGAGGGCCUUGUCUGCUUUUCCUUCCAGGGUGCUCACUAAGUCGGUCCACUUCUUUUGGACGUCCUCCAGCACUUCCCGUCGGGCCUCGUCUUGUCGCUGCAGUCCUCCGAUCUGCUCCUCCUGCAGGCGCGAGGCGGCUUGCGCUCUCUCCAGCCGUCCCUGCAGCGACCUCAGCUUCCCUUCCAGGCCGUCUGCCUUUUGCAUCCAUUCGGCCAGGACCACCUUCAGGUUGGCCAGGGCUCCGGCCUGCUGCUUCUCUGCUUCCCGGGAGGCGGACAGCUGGAGGGCAGUCUCCUCUUUCUGCUGGGUGACCGCAGUCAGUUGUUCCUGCAGGGACCCGACCCGGGCAGCGGCCCGCUGGCUCGCCUUCUGCAUGGCGUGGGAAGAUG